rnacentral:rRNA from 1 species
GACGAACGCUGGCGGCGUGCCUAAUACAUGCAAGUUGAGCGCUGAAACGUGGUGCUUGUACCAACGAGGUUAGCAGCGAACGGGUGAGUAACACGUGGGGAAUCUACCUUUAAGCGUGGGACAACAUCUGGAAACGAAUGCUAAUACCGCAUAAAAACUUUAAACGCAAGGUUUAAGAUUGAAAGAUGCUAUUGCAUCACUCAAAGAUUAUCCCGCGUUCGAUUAACUAGGUGGUGAGGGAAAGGCUCACCAAGGCGAUGAUGCGUAGCCGACCUGAGAGGGUGGUCGGCAACACUGGAACUGAGACGCGGAACAGACUCCGACGGGAGGCAGCAGGGGGGAAUCGGCCACAGUGGGCGGUAGGCUGGCGGAACAACGCCGCGGGGGUGAAGGAGGUCGGCUGAUCGUAAAACUCUGUUAUUGAAGAAGAACAAAGGUGGAAGAAACUGCACGACUUGACGGUACCUAAUCAGAAAGCCACGGCUAACUACGUG